rnacentral:rRNA from 1 species
CACGCCCUAAACGAUGAUUACUCGUUGUUGGCCUGCACAGGUCAGUGGCUAAGGGAAACCGAUAAGUAAUCCACCUGGGGAGUACGAUCGCAAGGUUGAAACUCAAAGGAAUUGACGGGGGCCCGCACAAGCGGAGGAGCAUGUGGUUUAAUUCGAUGAUACGCGAGGAACCUUACCUGGGCUCGAACGUGAGAGGAAUAUAGAGGAAACUUUAUAGCUAGCAAUAGUCUCUUACGAGGUGC